UGGGGAAUAUUGCACAAUGGGCGAAAGCCUGAUGCAGCAACGCCGCGUGCGGGAUGACGGCCUUCGGGUUGUAAACCGCUUUCAGCAGGGACGAAGGUUUUCUGACGGUACCUGCAGAAGAAGCACCGGCUAACUACGUGCCAGCAGCCGCGGUGAUACGUAGGGUGCGAGCGUUGUCCGGAAUUAUUGGGCGUAAAGAGCUUGUAGGCGGUCCGUUGCGUCGGAAGUGAAAACUCAGGGCUUAACCCUGAGCCUGCUUUCGAUACGGGCGGACUUGAGGGAUGUAGGGGAGAACGGAAUUCCUGGUGGAGCGGUGGAAUGCGCAGAUAUCAGGAGGAACACCAGUGGCGAAGGCGGUUCUCUGGACAUUUCCUGACGCUGAGAAGCGAAAGCGUGGGGAGCAAACAGGCUUAGAUACCCUGGUAGUCCACGCCGUAAACGGUGGCACUAGGUGUGGGACCCAUUCCACGGGUUCCGUGCCGUAGCUAACGCAUUAAGUGCCCCGCCUGGGG
rnacentral:rRNA from 1 species